AAGGAAUACAGAUAGGCUAUUCAGAUUUGUAGGGAGAACAUUCAUGUGGUCAAAGCCCAGUUAGAGUUGAAGCUGGCCAGGUCUGUGGGAGACAAUAAAAAGGGCUUUUUAAAAUAUGUGAAUAGAAAAAGGAGGACCAGAGUAAACAUAAGUCCACUACUUGAUGGGGAUGGUCAACUCACAAGCAGGGAUGUAGGCAAAGCAGAGACAUUUAAUGCCUUCUUUGCCUCUGUCUUCAACACUCAUGAUGGGCUUCGGGACCCUGGGUACCCUGAGCUGGAGGACCAUGAUUGUGGGAAUGAUAAACUCCCAGCCAACCCUGAACAUGUGCAGGAUUUGCUGCUCCACCAGGAACCAUACAAGUCCAUAGGUCCAGAUGGGGUUCAUCCCAAGGUGCUCAGAGAGCUGGCUGAUGUCAUCGCAGGACUUCUCUCAAUUGUUUUUCAAUGUUCUUGGGAAUCUGGAGAGGUCUCAGUUGACUGGAAGCUGGCAAAUGUUGUCCCAAUUUUCAAGAAGGGCAAGAAAGAAAACUCUGAUAACUACAGGCCUGUCAAUCUCAUGUCAGUGCCUGAUAAGAUUAUGGAGAAGAUCAUCCUGGGAAUUACUGAAGCGCACCUGGGGGACAAUAUGGUCAUUGGUCCCAGACAGCAUGGGUUCAUGAGGGGUAGGUCCUGUUUGACAAAUUUGAUUUUCUUUUAUAAUAAGAUCAUCCAUCUAGUCGAUCAAGGGAAACCAGCUAAUGGGAUCUUUUUGGAUUUCAGUAAAUCUUGCAACACAGUUUCCCAUAGGAUCCUAUUGGACAAAAUGUCCAGCAUACAACUAGACAAAAACAUCAUACGAUGGGUGAACAAUUGGCUGACGGCAGGGCUCAAAGGGUUGUGGUAAAUGGGGCCAUAUCAGGCUGGUGGCCAGUCACCAGUGGGGCCCCUCAGGGCACCAUUUUAGGGCCAGUUCACCUCAGUGUUUUUGUAAAUGACUUGGAGGUAGGACUAGAAUGUGUUUUGAGUAAAUUUUUUGAUAAUACUAAACUGGGAGGAGCUGUUGACUCUGUUGAGGGUGGAAAGGACUUGCAGAGAGAUCUGGACAGAUUGGAGANNNNNNNNNNNNNNNNNNNNNNNNNNNNNNNNNNNNNNNNNNNN
rnacentral:lncRNA from 1 species